rnacentral:rRNA from 1 species
GACGAACGCUGGCGGCGUGCUUAACACAUGCAAGUGGAGCGACGAACCAGGGCUUGCCCUGGGGCAGAGCCGCGAACGGGUGAGUAACACGUGGGUAACGUGCCCCGAUGAUCGGGGCAACCCGGGGAAACCCGGGCUAAUACCGAAUGUGCUCCCCUCACACCAGUGAGGGAUGGAAAGGAAGCUUCGGCCUCCGCAUCGGGAUCGGCCCGCGGCCCAUUAGCUUGUUGGUGAGGUAACGGCNCACCAAGGCUGCGAUGGGUAGCUGGUCUGAGAGGACGAUCAGCCACACUGGGACUGAGACACGGCCCAGACUCCUACGGGAGGCAGCAGUGGGGAAUCUUGCGCAAUGCGCGAAAGCGUGACGCAGCAACGCCGCGUGGGGGAAGACCGGCCU